UACGAAGGGAGCUAGCGUUGUUCGGAAUCACUGGGCGUAAAGCGCACGUAGGCGGAUUUGUCAGUCAGGGGUGAAAUCCCGGGGCUCAACCUUCAGAGGUCGACCGAAACCAUCUGGCUAGAGUCCGGGAGAGGAGAGUGGAAUUCCUGGUGUAGCGGUGAAAUGCGCAGAUAUCAGGAAGAACACCCGUGGCGAAAGCGGCUCUCUGGAACGGUACUGACGCUGAGACGCGAAAGCGUGGGGAGCGAACAGG
rnacentral:rRNA from 1 species